GCAUAACCUUUAUCCCAAUGCCUCCUUUCUUUCUCCCCUUCAUCCCCAAUGCCCAGAUCUGAUAGAGAUCAGAGCUAAGAGAGAAAAAGAAGAAGAGAAGAAGAAAGAUUUUUCUUUCCUUCUUGGUGAUGUGGUUCAGAUCCCAUUGGAUCUGUCCGAAAGAAUUUGUACAGUGAUCUUCUUCUUAGGGAUCUAGAAGAACAGAUGUAGAUCUAAGACUGAAGAGUGAGAUUUACAAGGUGCUAGCACAUUGGUGAUCUCGAUGCUCCGAUCAGACAUUUUCGUGUGGAUACCAGCAGA
rnacentral:lncRNA from 1 species